GGAGGAGGGAAGGAUGGGCUCGUAAGAGGAGCCUGGCAUCUUCGGGACGGAAGAAGGAACUCUCGGAAGGGCAAGGACCCUGUUGGUCUUGUUUGCUCCUGUGUUCGCGGUGCCCACACAGACUUCCUAGAGGAGGUGGCAGGCGAGUCGGACCCUGAAGGACAAGCAAGAGCCCAGCAGCUAGCGGAAGCGCAGGAAUCCCUGGGUCUCCAACCCCUCAACUCCAGGGGCCGGCGGCCACCUGCUUCAGAUCCUCAGACAUCAAAACAACAGCGAGAAGAUAUUGGGAACAACUUUCGUCAGUAAAUUUGAAAAUUUAGGUAUGUGGACAAAUUCCUAGGAAAUUAUCAUUAAUCAGAACCUACACCUGAAAGAGAGUCUGUUUUGGUAGUUUUAAGGGGACCGAAUCCAGAAUCAUGGGCCCUCUGGCGUUGGCCUCCCCGCCCGGGGCUCUGCCUCUUGUCUGCCUGUCUGUCUGCUCUAGGGCCGGACCCCCUGAGA